rnacentral:rRNA from 1 species
AUUGAACGCUGGCGGCAUGCCUUACACAUGCAAGUCGAACGGUAACGGGCCUUCGGGUGCCGACGAGUGGCGAACGGGUGAGUAAUGCAUCGGAACGUACCUUUCAGUGGGGGAUAACGUAGCGAAAGUUACGCUAAUACCGCAUAUUCUGUGAGCAGGAAAGCAGGGGAUCGCAAGACCUUGUGCUGAUUGAGCGGCCGAUGUCAGAUUAGCUAGUUGGUGAGGUAAAGGCUCACCAAGGCGACGAUCUGUAGCGGGUCUGAGAGGAUGAUCCGCCACACUGGAACUGAGACACGGUCCAGACUCCUACGGGAGGCAGCAGUGGGGAAUUUUGGACAAUGGGGGCAACCCUGAUCCAGCCAUGCCGCGUGAGUGAAGAAGGCCUUCGGGUCGUAAGACUCUUUCGGCCGGGAAGAAAUCGCGAUGGGUUAAUACCCUGUGCGGAUGACGGUACCGGC